GCUCAGGUGGCGGAACUGGUAGACGCGCUAGCUUGAGGGGCUAGUGGGAUUUUUUCCCGUGGAAGUUCGAGUCUUCUCCUGAGCACAA
rnacentral:tRNA from 1 species